AUCCUAUUAACAUACAAUUAUGAAAUAUAACAUGCACAUAUAUUAAAUAUAACGUACCAAACAGGUAUAUUAAAUAUAACGUACCAAUCAUUUGGUACGUUAUUGGUACGUUAUAUAAAUUUAAUCUAGGUACGUAUUAGUAUUUUGGUACGUUAUAAAUAUUGCUUUCGGUACGUUGUGCAAUUCUUUAUUUAGUACGUACCAAGUUAUUAGUACGUUGUGUUAUCCUUAUUUUGGUACUUACAAAACUUAUGGUACGUUAUGUGUAAGUUGUGUAACCCAAAAAAAAAGAUAACUUUUCACAUUAAAACAUUGCACUAAAAAAUAUUUUGUCAACUCUUAAUAAUUAAUUAUUGGAAUAAGGACUCAUUUUAAAUAUAAAUAUAAAUGUGAAAACUCUUAUAGCGCGUUUACUAACCCGUAAUCGGAAUGAGAAUAAGGAAUCCGAUUCCAAUUUCGGAUUAUACAUGUGUUUACUAAAAUUGGGAGGAAUCAAAAGUGUGUGAGGCCCACACAAAAAAAUGGAAUUCAAUUCCUUAAAUUGGAGGAUUUGGAUUCCUAACAUAUACAAGGUAUUUGGAUUCCGGAUUGCCCAAGCAAUCGGAAUGAUAAUUUUUUCCCUUUAUGCCCUCACUUACUUUCAUUAUUUCCAAGAUUAUCCUUUUAACCCUAGACUUAUUUUUCUUUUCACCCAAGUCAUUUUCUAUCUUCACCCAGCUCAUUUCUUUUCACCCAACCCAUGUCCUUCUAGCUCAUUAAGCAUAAUUCUAUGCUCAUUCACAUUAUGCACAAACUCCAUACAUUGCCGAAGAGAAAAAAUUACAACUUGAGCGAGAAAAUUUAGUUAUUAAAGUCAAUACUUAAAUUUAUAAAAAAAAAAUAAACAAAAUCAUUUUAGUAUGUCUAUGAAAUAAAAAAGCAAUUUAAUUUUUUCUUACUAUUAUAUACGAUAUCAAAUUUUAUUAAAAAAAGUAUAUAAAAUAUUUGAUUUGAGACAAGGGCAUUUUAGUAAUCAUACUGGUUUAUAUUCCGAUUCUGCUAAAUUAGUAAACAGCUUUAUGGAAUUGUAUUCUGAUUCCGAACAGUUUUAGUAAACAAAUUCAACAGGAAUCUGAUUCUGAUUCCACCUCAUUUCAAUUCCUCUCAAUUUGAUUACGGAUUAGUAAACGCGAUAUUAGUUCACGUUUCUACUAUAAGUAGUUGUUGAAAAAUUCAAAUUUAUUUUCAGUUGCAUGAAAUUAGGCAGUCUAGUGUACAUCUCAAUUUAAAUUAUAAACGAACUCUUGUUUUUUUAUAAUCUAUAUAAAAUGUUGAGUUGGAAAUUGGAAAAACUAUAUUUCAUCCAAUUAAUCUUGAACCCCAGUAGAUAUAAUUGAAUCCUUAAAUUGACGAAGGGAUGAGAUUCCAUAAAAAUAGCAAUAAAUUAAUGAAUAUUAUGGAGUACAUUUUGUUUACAUAGAAAUGGAUUUAAAAGAAUUUAUAAAAUACUUAAAUUAAAAUAUACCUGGAAUAUAAAGUUUAAUUAAAAAUAAAAGCACUUUAAUCAAAAGUUCAAAAGUAACAGAUGUUUAAUUUAAAAAAAAAAAAUCUAAAAUGAGGCAUCUAAUUCUAAUUAACUGUAAAUUUUAAUCACAAAAAGUAGAUAAGAGAACUUAAAAAAAAACACUACAUGAGCAUUAUAAAGGUUUAAACGGAAUUUGUAAACGAAUUUUGCAAAUUCAUCUCAUAUGCCUUUUCUAAUAAUCAUGUUGUGCAUUUUUAAUCCCUUUUAUCUGACAUUUUGUAAUCUAUUUAUUCAUCAAUAUGCUUAAUUCCCUAAGAAUUUAGAAGUUUCGCACUCAACCAUACCCUAAAGAAAUAUAUACAUUUCCCGACUGCCGUCACUUCAAUUCUUCUAGACUUGCACUCCCAAGGAUGAUAAAAUUUGAAGCCAUUUUUCCCUUUAAUUAUUAGGUGCACUUUGCACUUACUUUGCACUUCGUUUGUUAUAUAAUUAAAGGAUUAUCAUCCAAUUAUGUAUAAAGCUCGAAUCUAAUCAAUGCAAUGAAAAAAAUUAACAUUUGAUAACUGUCAACCUGUUUGGUAUGAACCAAAAUUUCAAAGUCUUAAUCUACAACUUUUCAUAAAUAAUUGGAGGUAAGUGGUAGUUAUGAGUGUGCAAUGGUUGUGAGGUGACAUAUAUAUGUACAUGUGUGUGUGUGUAUAGAUGUAAUUUUUUUAUUUUUAUAUAUAACUAACAACAACAUGAAAUUUCAUGACAAUGACAAGUAAGGGAUCAACCAUAUUUGAGCGAGUUCAUUGAUAAAAAGUUGAAAUGCAUUUAUGAGUCUUUUCGAUUUUAAAAAAAGUAAAUUAUUGUGACAAAACUAUCAACUAAUACCCUUUAAAAAAAAACUACUUUUAUCACUACACAUGUAUCUACUUAUUAAAAGUCUAUCGAAAAUUUCUACAAGUUACGUGCUAAAAGAUUUCCAAUAAUCGUGUUAUUCACCAUUAUUAACUUGAAUUUUUUAACAUCACACGUCAUCGUAAUUGUCACACUAAAAUUUGUCAGUUGACUCAUUUUCAUUUUCAUUUGACAUGCGUUUUAAUCUAGAGGCCCAAAGACCCAGAAAAGUUGGAGGCCCAACAUUAAGCCCAAUCUAGAUUGCCUGUUUAUCUACUCUGGUCUCUCGAAGUUUUAUGAUUUUAUUUUUAUUUUUUUCCCUGUUCGACUGCGAUGUUUCAAAUCGUGGUUUUCGGGUUAGUGUUGGCUUUUUCAAAUUUUCAAUUUUUUUUUAAUUUGCAUUGUUUCUGAAUGCUGCUUUUCCAGUAAAGGUGCAAUGUGUACUGUGAUCAAGGAAGAAAAUAUCGGUAAUAUCGGAAAUAUCGGUAGUCCGAAAACACG
rnacentral:lncRNA from 1 species